UAUGGCCAUAUCACAUUGAAACAUCGGUUCCCAUACGAACGCCGAAGUUAAGCAACGCCGAACCUAGUCAAUAGCUAGAUGGGUGAACGCUUUGGAAUACGAAGUGC